GACGAACGCUGGCGGCGUGCUUAACACAUGCAAGUCGAACGGACAGGCCCCUUUGGGGGUACUCGAGUGGCGAACGGGUGCGUAACACGUGCGUAACCUGCCCUUGACUUCGGGAUAACUUCAGGAAACUGGGGCUAAUACCGGGUAGGAAUCCUUGCUGCAUGGUGGGUGUUGGAAAGCUUCGGCGGGUUUGGAUGGACUUGCGGCUUAUCAGCUUGUUGGUGGGGUAGUGGUUUACCAAGGCUUUGACGGGAAGCCGGCCUGGGGGGGCGGCCGGCCACAGUGGGACUGGGAGACGGCCCAGACUCCGACGGGAGGCAGCAGGGGGGAAGAUUGCACAAUGGGCGGAAGCCUGAUGCAGAAACGCCGCGGGCGGGAGGACGGCCUUCGGGUUGUAAACCGCAUUCAGCAGGGGCGAAGCUUGUGGUGACGGUACCUGCAGAAGAAGCACCGGCUAACUACGUG
rnacentral:rRNA from 1 species